UGUCUUUCUCAUCCCCAGUGUUCUUUGAAAUGGUUUGAAAUUAUCAACAACCCUAUGUACCAUUGACUGGUAUACAGAAAUAUUCUCGACAACCGACAAGUUAUUCACAGCUUCCUUUCAUGUUAAAGGAGAUGUUGUUAUCACGGGAAAAUGAAGAAAGGUCAACUAGUGCAGACAUCAAACAAGCAUAGUCCAGUAACAGUAAUGAAAUUGAUUGUGAGAAUGAAGAAGAUAGCCAUAUUUGGACCAAAGCAAAGGAUGAAUCACAACUGGAUGAUAGUUGUGCAUGUAUUAGUGAACCGGUUAUUUCAAGGAAAGCUUACCUUAUUCAGCAAUUGCUAUGAAGAUGAAGAAAGUUGUAACCAGCCGAAAGAUGUUGUCUUCAUGUUUGUACCAUCCUGUUAUAGAAACAAUGCCAGUACACAGAACAUUCAGUUGAGAUGAGAUGGAGAAAGGGAGAUAAUUGAAAUGGGGAGAAAAUUUUGACACUUGACCCAGGCUUUCAUCAGGCUGUCACAUGGUGUGUUACAUGAUGCUGUCUUAUUUAAGAUUCAUUGAAAGGAAAAUAAAAUGUUUUGAAAGGAGCAAAAAUGACAGGAAAGAUUAAUUUCAGAUGAUGACAGUUGAGAAGAAUUUGAGGGAUAGGACUAUUUUAAAUUCACCAAAUCUGAUUUGGUCACACAUUACAUGGGAUUGGAUCAUGAUGUAAACAUUCCAAUAUCCUCGACAAUAUAUCUGAAGAAAUAAAGUUAGGUAAACAGAGUCAUUACUCUCAGUAGUCUCAGAUCUCUUUUUUUAUCUAAGUAAUUAUUAUUCUACAUUUAUCCCCCAUCUUGUUUGAUCAAGAAAUUAACAUUAAUAAGACUGUAAGAUUAUCUGUUUCCUGUCUUGCAAAGUGACCACUGGCCAUGCUGUUCAUUCAAUGACCGCUGACCGUUUGAUUCUUUGAUGAGAAACAAAAAUACAAACACUGAUGAUAAUACUUCUGCACAUUAAUGAGAUUUUCCCAGCAUUUGUGAAAAUAUUAAUUAUAGCAAAUGACCGAACCACUUUAGAUUAGUCCAGGACAAGGGUCAUUUCGAGGUCAUCUUUCCAGCUACUGGCCGAUAAGAUUUUGAUAAAGUCUUGAAAUGAUGCACAGAGGGUAUGUGUGGGAUGAUAUCCGCUCAUUUAACAGUAAUUAUAAGAAUGGGGUCUGUAUUGUAGGUCAUUCUUACUAAGUUAAAGACUAUACCAUUUCAAGGGAGAUGCAGAUUUUCCAAACUUAUUACAUAUGGGUCGAGCCAAAAGGUCUUUGGGCCUUGGAUUUUUUUUAGUUUGAACCCUCUGGUGUGCCAAUCAUUGGUUAGAAGAUUUGAUGGCAGAUAAGUUUUAAGCUGUCUAUAUGGGUCACUGAUUAAAGUGGGAAAGAGGGCAGUAUAUUUUGGGAGAACAGAUGAUUGGUACUGGAACGGAUCAGAUAAUUGGUACUGGUAUGGAACAGAUGAUUGGUACUGGUAUGGAACAAAUAAUUGGUACUGGUAUGGAACAGCUGAUAGAUACUGGUAUGGAACAGAUGAUUGGUACUGGUAUGGAACAGAUGAUUGGUACUGGUAUGGAACAGAUGA